AGAGUUUGAUCCUGGCUCAGGAUGAACGCUAGCGGCAGGCCUAACACAUGCAAGUCGAGGGGUAUAGUUCUUCGGAACUAGAGACCGGCGCACGGGUGCGUAACGCGUAUGCAAUCUACCUUAUACAGGGGAAUAGCCCAGAGAAAUUUGGAUUAAUGCCCCAUAGUGUUAUAGAAUCGCAUGGUUUUAUAACUAAAGUUCCAACGGUAUAAGAUGAGCAUGCGUCCCAUUAGUUAGUUGGUAAGGUAACGGCUUACCAAGACAAUGAUGGGUAGGGGUCCUGAGAGGGAGAUCCCCCACACUGGUACUGAGACACGGACCAGACUCCUACGGGAGGCAGCAGUGAGGAAUAUUGGUCAAUGGGCGCAAGCCUGAACCAGCCAUGCCGCGUGCAGGAAGACGGUCCUUGGAUUGUAAACUGCUUUUAUACAGGAAGAAACCUCCCUACGUGUAGGGACUUGACGGUACUGUAGGAAUAAGGAUCGGCUAACUCCGUGCCAGCAGCCGCGGUAAUACGGAGGAUCCAAGCGUUAUCCGGAAUCAUUGGGUUUAAAGGGUCCGUAGGCGGCCUUAUAAGUCAGUGGUGAAAUCUCCUAGCUCAACUAGGAAACUGCCAUUGAUACUGUAAGGCUUGAAUUUUUGUGAAGUAACUAGAAUAUGUAGUGUAGCGGUGAAAUGCUUAGAUAUUACACGGAAUACCAAUUGCGAAGGCAGGUUACUAACAAACGAUUGACGCUGAUGGACGAAAGCGUGGGGAGCGAACAGGAUUAGAUACCCUGGUAGUCCACGCCGUAAACGAUGGAUACUAGCUGUUCGGACAAUCUGAGUGGCUAAGCGAAAGUGAUAAGUAUCCCACCUGGGGAGUACGCACGCGAGUGUGAAACUCAAAUGAAUUGACGG
rnacentral:rRNA from 1 species